rnacentral:rRNA from 1 species
UACAGAGGUGGCAAGCGUUGUUCGGAAUUACUGGGCGUAAAGGGCGCGUAGGCGGCCAUCUAAGUCAGACGUGAAAUCCCCCGGCUUAACCUGGGAACUGCGUCUGAUACUGGACGGCUUGAGUAUGGGAGAGGGAUGUAGAAUUCCAGGUGUAGCGGUGAAAUGCGUAGAUAUCUGGAGGAAUACCGGUGGCGAAGACGGCAUCCUGGACCAUUACUGACGCUGAGGCGCGAAAGCUAGGGGAGCAAACGGG